UACGGAGGGUGCAAGCGUUAUCCGGAUUUACUGGGUUUAAAGGGUGUGUAGGCGGACUAUUAAGUCAGUGGUGAAAUCCCGAGGCUCAACCUCGGAACUGCCUUUGAUACUAUUAGUCUUGAAUGUUGUUGAGGUGGGCGGAACGGGUCAUGUAGCGGUGAAAUGACAUAGAUAUGACCCGGAACACCGAUUGCGAAGGCA
rnacentral:rRNA from 1 species